rnacentral:antisense_RNA from 1 species
UUUUUGAGAAUCAUGAUGAGGCAUUAAAGAAGAGGAGGAGUGUCUCAAGGGAGGUGAGCUGGAGGUGAUGCAAGGAUGUCUGAUCUGAAAGCAUGUUGUGGUCUGCUACACACAAGAGCAAAAGAAGAGCAGGAAGGAGCUCAGUGCCAAGACCAUAGCCACAGGAAGAAAACCAGCUCUUAGGGCUGCAGCUCUAAAGACAGGCCAGGUCAUUACAGGAACGUCUGCUCCCUUAGCCUUGCCAGACAGAGGAGGUUAAGAAAGGAACUGCUGACCCUGAUAUGCAAACUGCCACGAGUGUUUCCUGCCUUUCUAUCAGCGUCAGAUGGCUAGCAAUGGAUGGCUGUAAGGUUGAUGUAAUUAAUAUUUUAUUUUCAGGGCCACGGUGCUGGUUGGGUGCACCAGACAAAUCAACCAACAGAUUAAAGAGCGAUGGAGAAAGCUGCGUUUUGGGCCUCAUUGGGAACAGAACGGAAGAGUUGAGGGUGGAAGAGACCUCAGCAAGUCUUCUGAUCCAUGUUUCAACCUUCAUUUCCCCAUACCUCAAGGAGAGAGUUGCUUUUCCUGUUCUUCAAAUGAGUUCCUUGAAUUCACACUCUAGUUCUUUGAAUUUGCACAGACUGUUGAGGAACAGGCGGCAGGGUCACCCUA